UCGACGAUUAAAGCACCUUCGGGUGUGUAUAGAGUGGCGAACGGGUGAGUAACACGUGACCAACCUGCCUCUUACAUUGGGACAACCAAAAGAAAUUCUGGCUAAUACCAAAUACUCCGCACAUAUCACAUGAUGUAUGCGGGAAAGCUUUUGCGGUAAGAGAUGGGGUCGCGGCCCAUUAGGUAGACGGCGGGGUAGAAGCCCACCGUGCCGAUGAUGGGUAGCCGGGUUGAGAGACCGACCGGCCACAUUGGGACUGAGAUACGGCCCAGACUCCUACGGGAGGCAGCAGUGGGGAAUAUUGCGCAAUGGGGGAAACCCUGACGCAGCAACGCCGCGUGCGGGAUGAAGGCCUUCGGGUUGUAAACCGCUUUCAGCAGGGAAGACAUCGACGGUACCUGCAGAAGAAGCCCCGGCUAACUACGUGCCAGCAGCCGCGGUAAUACGUAGGGGGCGAGCGUUAUCCGGAUUCAUUGGGCGUAAAGCGCGCGCAGGCGGUUGCUCAAGCGGAACCUCUAAUCUCGGGGCUUAACCUCGAGCCGGGUUCCGAACUGGACGACUCGAGUGCGGUAGAGGCAGAUGGAAUUCCCGGUGUAGCGGUGGAAUGCGCAGGUAUCGGGAAGAACACCAACGGCGAAGGCAGUCUGCUGGGCCGUCACUGACGCUG
rnacentral:rRNA from 1 species